AUUGAACGCUGGCGGCAUGCUUUACACAUGCAAGUCGAACGGCAGCGCGGGCUUCGGCCUGGCGGCGAGUGGCGAACGGGUGAGUAAUGCAUCGGAACGUGCCCAGUAGUGGGGGAUAGCCCGGCGAAAGCCGGAUUAAUACCGCAUACGACCUGAGGGCGAAAGCGGGGGACCGAAAGGCCUCGCGCCAUUGGAGCGGCCGAUGUCGGAUUAGCUAGUUGGUGGGGUAAAGGCUUACCAAGGCGACGAUCCGUAGCUGGUCUGAGAGGACGACCAGCCACACUGGGACUGAGACACGGCCCAGACUCCUACGGGAGGCAGCAGUGGGGAAUUUUGGACAAUGGGGGCAACCCUGAUCCAGCCAUGCCGCGUGCGGGAAGAAGGCCUUCGGGUUGUAAACCGCUUUUGUUCGGGAAGAAAUCCUCUGGGCUAAUACCCCGUGGGGAUGACGGUACCGGAAGAAUAAGCACCGGCUAACUACGUG
rnacentral:rRNA from 1 species